UACGUAGGGACCAAGCGUUGUUCGGAUUUACUGGGCGUAAAGGGCGCGUAGGCGGCAAUUCAAGUCAGCUGUGAAAUCUCCGGGCUUAACUCGGAACGGUCAGCUGAUACUGCUUUGCUAGAGUGCGGAAGGGGCAAUCGGAAUUCUCGGUGUAGCGGUGAAAUGCGUAGAUAUCGAGAGGAACACCUGAGGUGAAGACGGGUUGCUGGGCCGACACUGACGCUGAGGCGCGAAAGCCAGGGUAGCAAACAGG
rnacentral:rRNA from 1 species